UGGGGAAUUUUGCGCAAUGGGCGAAAGCCUGACGCAGCAACGCCGCGUGUGUGAUGAAGGUCUUCGGAUUGUAAAGCACUUUCGACCGGGACGAAACCGGAUUGGCUAACAUCCAAUUCACUGACGGUACCGGGAGAAGAAGCACCGGCUAACUCUGUGCCAGCAGCCGCGGUAAUACAGAGGGUGCAAGCGUUGUUCGGAAUUAUUGGGCGUAAAGCGCGUGUAGGCGGCUUUGCAAGUCGGGUGUGAAAGCCCUCAGCUCAACUGAGGAAGUGCGCCCGAAACUGCAGAGCUUGAGUACCGGAGAGGAUGGUGGAAUUCCCCAAGUAGAGGUGAAAUUCGUAGAUAUGGGGAGGAACACCGGUGGCGAAGGCGACCAUCUGGACGGAUACUGACGCUGAGACGCGAAAGCGUGGGGAGCAAACAGGAUUAGAUACCCCCGUAGUCC
rnacentral:rRNA from 1 species